UUUAUACUUUUGCUUACAUUUUCAUUUUGAAAGCAGUACUGCAUGUCUUUCUCCUCAAAACUUGUAAUGAUUGCACUCAAAACUUCUCCUCAUGCUCAGACUUAGUCUCUGUUCGCUUAAGAAAACAUAGAAUCACCUUUUGGCACAGUCGCCUGGCAACCUUUCAGCCAAUAGAAUGAAAGUGUUGUACUGGGUGCAUUUGUUUCCUUAUAGCAGGUGUGUCUGUGUGGUUACUAUCAAUUGUAGCGACCCGCACCUGGGAGAAACAACGACGGGAGAAACAACCACUGGGAGAAACAACGACGUUAGCUUUCUGCUCUGUAGUACAUUAAACAUCCACCAGCAGAGCUACUGGUCGCUAACAGCUACUGAUCUUAGGCAGGAGUUUGUCUGUCUGUCUGUCUGUCUGUCUAUCUGACCUUUGGUUGGAUGAACAGACAGACAGACAGAUAGAUAGAAUGUCGGGAAUAUUUUGGUUGGGUGAACAAAUCCCCCCCGCCUCCCCAGCCUCCAGGUUGUACGUUACGGCCCUGCGGUUGAAUGUAGACACCUGUGAUGUUAAUUAGUGGGCACACCUUGAUUUAACAUGGUCCCUUUGGUCACCUUAUUUUCAGGGGUACCAUCAUUUUUGUCCAGGUCUGUUUCCUGAGUUUGUUUUCUUUAAUAAUUUUGUCGAAACAUGUUUGAAAAGCAAUGUCUUACUUUCAUUUGCUAAUUUUCAUAGAAUUUUUAUUCAUUAUUACCUUUGUCAGAUUCAAGUUAUUUCUGUGACCUUUCUGGGUUUUUCUUUCAUUAACCGAGGGGUAAAAACUAUUUUGUCCUCCUGUUUAUAUCGUCUUUUUAACUGGCCCAAACCAGCGCCUUCCUCACUCUUAUUUUUCUGUAUUUUUCAGCUGCUGCUGAGCAGUGUGACCCAAAGCUGACUGAUAAGGGCUACAGCGAAACAGUCAAGAAGUGGCUACAUUACACACCAGAGAGAGAGUGAGGCAUAAAGGAACCAACAUGACGCCAACCAGAGUGAAACUUGGGUUACCCCAACGCAUACUGUUUCCCUGGUUCAUACAGCACAAUGCUGUUCUUCCAUGUUGUUCUGACAGUCAAAACGGAGUCAAAUAUGUUUACAGAUCUAUCCCUGUUUUCUUAAAUAAAAUGUUAUAUUAA